GGUCAAGUUAUUAAGGGUGCAGGGCGGAUGCCUUGGCACUAGGAGCCGAUGAAGGACGUGAUAAGCUGCGAUAAGCUUCGGGGAGUUGCACGUAAACUUUGAUCCGAAGAUUUCCGAAUGAGGAAACUCACUUAGAGUAAUGUCUAAGUAUCAUUAAGUGAAUACAUAGCUUAAUGAGGGGAACUCAGGGAACUGAAACAUCUAAGUACCUGAAGGAAGAGAAAGAAAUUCGAUUCCGUAAGUAGCGGCGAGCGAACGCGGAUUAGCCCAAACCAAUAAAGUUUUCUUUAUUGGGGUUGCGGACAUAUCACAUAUAAGAGGUCAUUAUAGACGAAGAAGUUUGGAAAAACUCAUCAUAGAAGGUAAUAAUCCUGUAGUCAAAAUAAUAAUUCUUUAGAUAUGAUCCAGAGUACCACGGGACACGUGAAACCCUGUGGGAAGCAGGAGGGACCACCCUCCAAGGCUAAAUACUACCUAGUGACCGAUAGCGUAUAGUACCGUGAGGGAAAGGUGAAAAGAACCCCGGGAGGGGAGUGAAAUAGAACCUGAAACCCUGCACUUACAAGCUGUGGAAGCACAUUUCUUGUGUGACCGCGUACUUUUUGUAGAACGGGCCAACGAGUUACGUUAAGUAGCAAG
rnacentral:rRNA from 1 species